UCCUACGGGUGGCUGCAGUGGGGAAUUUUGGACAAUGGGCGCAAGCCUGAUCCAGCCAUGCCGCGUGAGUGAAGAAGGCCUUCGGGUUGUAAAGCUCUUUCGGACGGGAAGAAAUCGCAUAGGCUAAUACCCUGUGUGGAUGACGGUACCGGAAUAAGAAGCACCGGCUAACUACGUGCCAGCAGCCGCGGUAAUACGUAGGGUGCGAGCGUUAAUCGGAAUUACUGGGCGUAAAGCGUGCGCAGGCGGUUUAGUAAGACAGGCGUGAAAUCCCCGGGCUCAACCUGGGAACUGCGCUUGUGACUGCUAAGCUAGAGUACGGCAGAGGGGGGUGGAAUUCCACGUGUAGCAGUGAAAUGCGUAGAGAUGUGGAGGAACACCGAUGGCGAAGGCAGCCCCCUGGGCCGAUACUGACGCUCAUGCACGAAAGCGUGGGUAGCAAACAGGAUUAGAUACCCCUGUAGUC
rnacentral:rRNA from 1 species